AUUGAACGCUGGCGGCAGGCCUAACACAUGCAAGUCGAGCGGCAGCGGGAAAGUAGCUUGCUACUUUUGCCGGCGAGCGGCGGACGGGUGAGUAAUGCCUGGGAAAUUGCCCAGUCGAGGGGGAUAACAGUUGGAAACGACUGCUAAUACCGCAUACGCCCUACGGGGGAAAGCAGGGGAACUUCGGGCCUUGCGCGAUUGGAUAUGCCCAGGUGGGAUUAGCUAGUUGGUGAGGUAAUGGCUCACCAAGGCGACGAUCCCUAGCUGGUCUGAGAGGAUGAUCAGCCACACUGGAACUGAGACACGGUCCAGACUCCUACGGGAUGCAGCAGUGGGGAAUAUUGCACAAUGGGGGAAACCCUGAUGCAGCCAUGCCGCGUGUGUGAAGAAGGCCUUCGGGUUGUAAAGCACUUUCGGCGAGGAGGAAAGGUUGAUGCCUAAUACGUAUCAACUGUGACGUUACUCGCAGAAGAAGCACCGGCUAACUCCGUGCCAGCCGCCGCCGUAAGAC
rnacentral:rRNA from 1 species